rnacentral:rRNA from 1 species
GACGAACGCUGGCGGCGUGCCUAACACAUGCAAGUCAACUUGACGGAAGGAGCAAUCUGACAGUAGAGUGGCGCAAGGGUGCGUAACGCGUAAGUAACUUGCCCCAAGGUAAGGAAUAACGUCGAGAAAUCGGCGCUAAUACCUCAUAAUGCAGCGGAUCCGCAUGGAUAUGUUGUUAAAGGUUUACCGCCUUGGGAUAGGCUUGCGUCUGAUUAGCUAGUUGGUGUGGUAACGGCACACCAAGGCUACGAUCAGUAACUGGUCUGAGAGGAUGAUCAGUCACACUGGAACUGAGACACGAUCCAGACUCCUACGGGAGGCAGCAGUGAGGAAUAAUUGGGGCAAAUGCUCGAAAGAGUGACCCAGCAACGCCGCGUGGAGGAUGAAGGUAUUCUAUAUCGUAAAACUCCUGUGAGAGCAGACGAAAGACAGAUUAUUAAAUCUGGAUGACUGUAUGCUCAGA